UACGGAGGGUGCAAGCGUUAUCCGGAUUCAUUGGGUUUAAAGGGUGCGUAGGCGGAAUGAUAAGUCAGUGGUGAAAUCCUUCAGCUUAACUGGAGAACUGCCAUUGAUACUGUCAAUCUUGAGUACAUUUGAUGUGGGCGGAAUGUGUCAUGUAGCGGUGAAAUGCUUAGAUAUGACACAGAACACCGAUUGCGAAGGCAGCUCACAAAACUGUAACUGACGCUGAGGCACGAAAGCGUGGGUAUCAAACAGG
rnacentral:rRNA from 1 species